rnacentral:rRNA from 1 species
GACGAACGCUGGCGGCGUGCUUAACACAUGCAAGUCGAACGGAAAGGCCCUGCUUUUGUGGGGUGCUCGAGUGGCGAACGGGUGAGUAACACGUGAGUAACCUGCCCUUGACUUUGGGAUAACUUCAGGAAACUGGGGCUAAUACCGGAUAGGAGCUCCUGCGGCAUGGUGGGGGUUGGAAAGUUUCGGCGGUUGGGGGUGGACUCGCGGCUUAUCAGCUUGUUGGUGGGGUAGUGGCUUACCAAGGCUUUGACGGGUAGCCGGCCUGAGAGGGUGACCGGCCACAUUGGGACUGAGAUACGGCCCAGACUCCUACGGGGGGCAGCAGUGGGGAAUAUUGCACAAUGGGCGGAAGCCUGAUGCAGCAACGCCGCGUGCGGGAUGACGGCCUUCGGGUUGUAAACCGCUUUCGCCUGUGACGAAGCGUGAGUGACGGUAAUGGGUAAAGAAGCACCGGCUAACUACGUG